UACGGAAGGCAGCAGUGGGGAAUAUUGCACAAUGGGCGCAAGCCUGAUGCAGCCAUGCCGCGUGUAUGAAGAAGGCCUUCGGGUUGUAAAGUACUUUCAGUCGUGAGGAAGGUGUUAAGGUUAAUAACCUUAGCAAUUGACGUUAGCGACAGAAGAAGCACCGGCUAACUCCGUGCCAGCAGCCGCGGUAAUACGGAGGGUGCGAGCGUUAAUCGGAAUUACUGGGCGUAAAGGGCACGCAGGCGGUUAAUUAAGUUGGAUGUGAAAUCCCCGGGCUUAACCUGGGAAUGGCAUUCAAGACUGGUUAGCUAGAGUCUUGUAGAGGGGGUUAGAAUUCCAUGUGUAGCGGUGAAAUGCGUAGAGAUGUGGAGGAAUACCGGUGGCGAAGGCGGCCCCUGGACAAAGGACUGACGCUCAUGUGCGAAAGCUGGGGAGCAAACAGGGAUUAGAUACC
rnacentral:rRNA from 1 species